UACGGAGGGUGCAAGCGUUAUCCGGAAUCACUGGGUUUAAAGGGUGCGUAGGCGGGUAGAUAAGUCAGAGGUGAAAUCCUUCCGCUUAACGGGAGAAUUGCCUUUGAUACUGUUUAUCUUGAAUGAGGUUGAGGUUAGCGGAAUGUGACAUGUAGCGGUGAAAUGCAUAGAUAUGUCAUAGAACACCAAUUGCGUAGGCAGCUAACUAGGCCUUUAUUGACGCUGAGGCACGAAAGCAUGGGGAGCGAACAGG
rnacentral:rRNA from 1 species